AUAACCCACUUAACCACCAUUCAUCAGCACCAUCAAGAGGCCAUUGUUACUCUAUCGUUGCCUAACCCUACUCUCAGUUGGUUUUCUGGAGAAUACCCACAAUUUGUGCCGUCAUCUUCGUCUUCAUCGGAACUCAACUAGUCAUGGGAACUCCAAAAACAGUAGCAGAAGACACCUACUUUCAGAAGGGAUUUGGAAUGUACUUCAGACCAGAUCAGGACUUUAUCUACAUUAGCAAAAGGUUUUACUCACAUUGGGAGCAUGUUAUUGCUGAUCGUGACAUUUUAGCUGUAGAUCCAAACGGAAAUUCUAGGCAAUUGAAAGUAGGAUUAAAGGACGGCAGGCCUGCUUUUACCGCUGGAGUCGAAGAGUUAGCUGAAUUUUACUCGCUGGAGGGAAGAACUUUGGUUCACUUUAAGUAUGAGCAACCACUAACUUUCAACAUGCGCAUAUUUCGCGACAACCAAUAUGGACCUGAGAUUAAGUACCCCGGUGAGCCUCCGAUUAUCAACCUUGUCUCUGAUUUGGACUCUGAACCAGAGGCCGAGGCUCAAGUCUUACAUAAUGAACAGGCAACCUAAUGGGAAAAGGUUGUAACUAGUCGGAUUGUUGAUGGUAGAGGACCUUUGCAUUUACCUGCAACUGUAACAGCUAGACUCCGCCAAAAUGGAAUGACAAAGGUACAUGUGAAGGUCAUGCACACAAAAUUAAAUGCUGAUUGUGAAAUUCGCCCCACACCAAGAAGCAAGAAUGAAGCCUAUUUGAUGAGUGGUUGGUAUGGCUUGUGCAAGGACUUAAAGCUGGCUGUUGGGAACAAACUCAAGUUUACUUUUCAUGCAACUCAGCUUCAAUUGCUCAUGCGUGUAGUGAGCGGCAAUUAGAAAUCAUUAUGUUUAGCUUCUUCUUUUAUGUAUGGUUACCUUGUUAAGUACUAUCCCAGACUUGUUUUGAGACUUCAAUGUAUCAGAUAUUGUCACCCUUGUUGUCACCUUUUCAAUUUCAGUAUUUUUAUGCAAUUCUGGAUAUCAUUUCUUUGAUGCAACCGUGGAUGUGGAUUUUUUUCGGUU